GACGAACGCUGGCGGCGUGCCUAAUACAUGCAAGUCGAACGCUGAAGGAGGAGCUUGCUUCUCCGGAUGAGUUGCGAACGGGUGAGUAACGCGUAGGUAACCUGCCUGGUAGCGGGGGAUAACUAUUGGAAACGAUAGCUAAUACCGCAUAAGUGUAGAUGUUGCAUGACAUUUGCUUAAAAGGUGCAAUUGCAUCACUACCAGAUGGACCUGCGUUGUAUUAGCUAGUUGGUGAGGUAACGGCUCACCAAGGCGACGAUACAUAGCCGACCUGAGAGGGUGAUCGGCCACACUGGGGCUGAGACACGGCCCAGACUCCUACGGGAGGCAGCAGUAGGGAAUCUUCGGCAAUGGACGGAAGUCUGACCGAGCAACGCCGCGUGAGUGAAGAAGGUUUUCGGAUCGUAAAGCUCUGUUGUAAGAGAAGAACGAGUGUGAGAGUGGAAAGUUCACACUGUGACGGUAUCUUACCAGAAAGGGACGGCUAACUACGUG
rnacentral:rRNA from 1 species